rnacentral:rRNA from 1 species
GCCGGGGGGAGCUAUAAUGCAGUCGAGCGGACAGAUGGGAGCUUGCUCCCUGAUGUUAGCGGCGGACGGGUGAGUAACACGUGGGUAACCUGCCUGUAAGACUGGGAUAACUCCGGGAAACCGGGGCUAAUACCGGAUGGUUGUUUGAACCGCAUGGUUCAAACAUAAAAGGUGGCUUCGGCUACCACUUACAGAUGGACCCGCGGCGCAUUAGCUAGUUGGUGAGGUAACGGCUCACCAAGGCGACGAUGCGUAGCCGACCUGAGAGGGUGAUCGGCCACACUGGGACUGAGACACGGCCCAGACUCCUACGGGAGGCAGCAGUAGGGAAUCUUCCGCAAUGGACGAAAGUCUGACGGAGCAACGCCGCGUGAGUGAUGAAGGUUUUCGGAUCGUAAAGCUCUGUUGUUAGGGAAGAACAAGUACCGUUCGAAUAGGGCGGUACCUUGACGGUACCUAACCAGAAAGCCACGGCUAACUACGUGCCAGAGCCCCCGGUAAAAA